rnacentral:rRNA from 1 species
AACCUUGUCUUUAGUUGCCAUCAUUAAGUUGGGCACUCUAAAGAGACUGCCGGUGUCAAACCGGAGGAAGGUGGGGAUGACGUCAAGUCCUCAUGGCCCUUAUGACCAGGGCUACACACGUACUACAAUGGCAGGUACAAAGGGCAGCCACUUAGCGAUAAGGAGCGAAUCCCGUAAAACCUGUCUCAGUCCGGAUUGGAGUCUGCAACUCGACUCCAUGAAGUUGGAAUCGCUAGUAAUCGUAGAUCAGCACGCUACGGUGAAUACGUUCCCGGGCCUU